rnacentral:rRNA from 1 species
GACGAACCGUGCGAACGUUGUUCGGAAUCACUGGGCUUAAAGGGCGCGUAGGCGGGCGGUCAAGUCGGUGGUGAAAGCCUUCAGCUUAACUGGAGAAGUGCCGCCGAUACUGACUGCCUCGAGGGAGGUAGGGGCAUGUGGAACUCAGGGUGGAGCGGUGAAAUGCGUAGAUAUCCUGAGGAACGCCGGUGGCGAAAGCGACGUGCUGGACCUCUUCUGACGCUGAGGCGCGAAAGCCAGGGGAGCAAACGGG